rnacentral:rRNA from 1 species
GUGGAUUAGAUACCCUGGUAGUCCACGCCGUAAACUAUGGAUGCUAGCUGUUAGAAGUAUCGACCCUUCUAGUAGCGAAGCUAACGCGUUAAGCAUCCCGCCUGUGGAGUACGGUCGCAAGACUAAAACAUAAAGGAAUUGACGGGGACCCGCACAAGCGGUGGAGCGUGUUGUUUAAUUCGAUGGUAAGCGAAGAACCUUACCCAGGCUUGACAUCCUUGGAAGGCUUCCGAAAGGAAACUGUGCCCUCGGGAACCAAGUGACAGGUGAUGCAUGGCCGUCGCCAGCU